UGGGGAAUAUUGCACAAUGGGCGAAAGCCUGAUGCAGCGACGCCGCGUGAGGGAUGACGGCCUUCGGGUUGUAAACCUCUUUCAGUAGGGACGAAGCGCAAGUGACGGUACCUGCAGAAGAAGCACCGGCUAACUACGUGCCAGCAGCCGCGGUAAUACGUAGGGUGCGAGCGUUGUCCGGAAUUACUGGGCGUAAAGAGCUCGUAGGCGGUUUGUCACGUCGUCUGUGAAAUCCUAGGGCUUAACCCUGGACGUGCAGGCGAUACGGGCUGACUUGAGUACUACAGGGGAGACUGGAAUUUCUGGUGUAGCGGAGGAAUGCACAGAUAUCAGGAAGAACACCGAUGGCGAAGGCAGGUCCCUGGGUAGUAACUGACGCUGAGGAGCGAAAGCAUGGGUAGCGAACAGG
rnacentral:rRNA from 1 species